rnacentral:rRNA from 1 species
CCUACGGGGCGCAGCAGUCGGGAAUAUUGCGCAAUGGAGGAAACUCUGACGCAGUGACGCCGCGUAUAGGAAGAAGGUUUUCGGAUUGUAAACUAUUGUCGUGAGGGAAGAAGAUGACAGUACCUCAGGAGGAAGCUCCGGCUAACUAUGUGCCAGCAGCCGCGGUAAUACAUAGGGAGCAAGCGUUAUCCGGAAUUACUGGGUGUAAAGGGAGCGUAGACGGUUAAGUAAGUCUGGAGUGAAAGGCCGGGGCCCAACCCCGGGACUGCUCUGGAAACUAUUGAACUUGAGUGCAGGAGAGGUAA